rnacentral:snRNA from 1 species
AGCUUUGCGCAGUGGCAGUAUCGUAGCCAAUGAGGUUUAUCCGAGGCGCGAUUAUUGCUAAUUGAAAACUUUUCUCAGAUCCUUUGGGUGUGUGAUUACUGAGUUACAUGGUAAGCGCGCAUUUCAUUUUAUAAACUGCCAGACCGUCCUCCCCAGCGGC